GGCUUGCCCUUAUAUACCCGCUGCGCUUCCCCGCGAUCAGCAGUAACGACACAGGCUGGGCUGGGCGUGCUCCUCACCCUCCUCUGCUACAGGUGGAAGGGGGCCUUCUAGAAGCUCAGAGCAUCUGGCUUCCAGCACCAGGUCCAUGUGGAGAUGGAGGAGACUUGGAAGGUAGAACUGAGGACCCAGAGGACGUAGCAGCUGGGAGAGGGCUCUGCAAACCUUUCCUGCGCUACCACGGUGGCCCUGGAGUCCUCCUAAGACAGACCACAUACAUGUUUAAGGAUACAAGACUCAAAGGAAGAGCCCCCUACAACCACCCAGGAAAUGUUGCUUCCUGCUCUUGAAAGCCAACACCAAACAGAGCUGAUGUGCCGUGAACAUAGGUGGCUCAGAUGAUUCCAGCCCUGCACCUACCUUCAAAUCCCUCUGCUCUAAUGCAAUUCCACUUCCAUGGCUGUCUCAGACCAUCAGACACUCUUCAAAGAAGGGAUGGACAAAGGGCUCCCUCCUUGGACGGUUUUGUGCGCGCAUGCUCAGUCACGUCUGACUCUCUGUAGUCCGCCAGGCUCCUCUGUCCAUGGAUUCUCCAGGCAAGAAUACUGGAGUGGGUUGCCAUUUCCUUCUCCAGGGGAUCUUCCCAACCCAGGGAUCAGACCUGCAUCUCCUGCACUGACAGGCAGAGUCUUUACCCCUGCGCCUCCUGUGAAGCCCCCAGAAGGCUUUAUACUGGGUUAUUUUUGUGAUUUCACUUCUACCUCAGAAAACUCUUAAAAAUAUUUCUCCUGAAUAAACAUAUUGCC
ensembl:lncRNA